rnacentral:rRNA from 1 species
CAGCAGCCACGGGAAUACGGAGGGGGCUAGCGUUGUUCGGAAUUACUGGGCGUAAAGCGCACGUAGGCGGCUUGGUAAGUUAGAGGUGAAAGCCUGGAGCUCAACUCCAGAAUUGCCUUUAAGACUGCCGAGCUAGCAGGUGAGAGAGGUAAGUGGAAUUCCGAGUGUAGAGGUGAAAUUCGUAGAUAUUCGGAAGAACACCAGUGGCGAAGGCGGCUUACUGGCUCAUACUGGACGCUGAGGUGCGAAAGCGUGGGGAGCAAACAGGAUUAGAUACCCGUGUAGUCCCUGUCUCUUAUAC